GAAGUGUGGACGCCAGUCUGCAUGGAGCCGACCUUGAAAUACCACCCUUUAAUGUUUGAUGUUCUAACGUUGACCCGUAAUCCGGGUUGCGGACAGUGUCUGGUGGGUAGUUUGACUGGGGCGGUCUCCUCCUAAAGAGUAACGGAGGAGCACGAAGGUUGGCUAAUCCUGGUCGGACAUCAGGAGGUUAGUGCAAUGGCAUAAGCCAGCUUGACUGCGAGCGUGACGGCGCGAGCAGGUGCGAAAGCAGGUCAUAGUGAUCCGGUGGUUCUGAAUGGAAGGGCCAUCGCUCAACGGAUAAAAGGUACUCCGGGGAUAACAGGCUGAUACCGCCCAAGAGUUCAUAUCGACGGCGGUGUUUGGCACCUCGAUGUCGGCUCAUCACAUCCUGGGGCUGAAGUAGGUCCCAAGGGUAUGGCUGUUCGCCAUUUAAAGUGGUACGCGAGCUGGGUUUAGAACGUCGUGAGACAGUUCGGUCCCUAUCUGCCGUGGGCGCUGGAGAACUGAGGGGGGCUGCUCCUAGUACGAGAGGACCGGAGUGGACGCAUCACUGGUGUUCGGGUUGUCAUGCCAAUGGCACUGCCCGGUAGCUAAAUGCGGAAGAGAUAAGUGCUGAAAG
rnacentral:rRNA from 1 species